UGGAUUUCAUAAAACAUAUUAAUAUAAAUUAUUAUGCAUACCUCACACAGAUAAAAAGGUGUACAUAUAUUCAUUUUUAUAGGCAUAAACCAUUUGAAGCAAGUGCACAAUGCAUAAAGAGUACAUAUGAGAUCUAUUGCAAUGUUUUCUAUAACCACUGAGGGAAAUGAUAUCACGAGGAAAUACAGAUUUAAAUCUCUUAACUAUAAACUGUUCAUUUUUUCUUGUCUCUGAGUUUUUUCCUUGUUAAUUAUAUUUUACUCUUUACACAUGUCAAUGUUUAAAUUUUCAACUUAAACCUAAUUUUACACUCCACAGUAUACUCUUUCUGUAUAUGCAGCAACAAAACCCUAAAUUCAUUUAUUUCAAAGUACAAAAAAAUCUUCCCUCUUCAACAUACUAGACAUGCAUGUCAUUAUGUAGUGUGCAGGAGGCAAUAAGAAAAUGGAUAUGGAAUCAAUACACAGAUCAGAGUAAGCUUGACUACAGGAAAAAAAAAUGGACAGGACUGAGGACAACAAUUCAAACACAGUCAAAAGGAAGAAUGUCAAUUUCAAGGCAGUAAUGAAUUUCGCUAGAUACAACCAGCCCCUGUUAUCAGUGGAUGAACUGAAAUCUGUUUUUCUAUAGGUAUAAGAGUAAAAAAUGAAAAUGACAAGAGGCAAAUGAAACUUAGGCAGUAUAGGGGAAAAGAACUACUCUGCAGUUUCCUAUGAAGAAUUCCAUUUUAUUUCAAUGAAUUUGUUCAUGUGUUCUCAGUGUAUUGUUUUAUUUCUAAAAGUCUGUAUGUUUAUCAUGCUACCUAACCCUACAAAUAAUAUUUAUAAUAAUUAUUUUUCCUAGUGUAGAGAAUUAUUUCAAAGAUAUUAUUUUAGUUAUUUCUUAAGCUAACUGAAGUAGUUAGAUCAGGCAUACGCUAUUAUCAGCAGACCUACAAUUUAUUUACAAAAUGUACAGCAGAAAUUAUCACAAUAAUGUAAAUCAAUAAUACUUUAAUAAAACUGAAGCGAACAAACAAGAAAAUCUAUGGGCACCAUUUUCCAACAGCAAAAAUAAAUAAAUAAAUAAAUAGAAAUAUAGAUAAAUAAAUAAUAAAAGUUGUUAGAUCUUCUAAGUGAAGAAGAGUAAAGUGUGAACUAAAACCUAAUUCCACUUAUUCCAAAUGCUAUGUUGCUGCCAUGACUACAUUCUGAUAUAAUGCUAUCAUGGAAUUGGUAGUAGUCAAGUUAAUUGAGCAUAUACAAAAUAAAUCUUAUAUAGAUCAUUUUUUAAAAUACAGCAUUAAGUUAUUUGGGCUCCUUAGUAUAAUUAAUAAGAAAAAUGAAGUUGGUCAGGUGGUAAUUCAAGCAAAAUGGCAAAAUGUUCAGAAAUAAAUUUUGAAUAUACAUGCAAAUUAAACCACAAAAAAAUUUCUGUACAAAGAAAUAUAUUUUUAGGAGUGGCCUCUGAGACUAAAAAAAAAUCAAAAACAACCUCCAUCAUGGCUUUCAUAACAGAUGAUUUAUUUAUUUUUCAAUGUAUUCCACAUGUAAAUCACUGCCAUAUUUGUUAUGUUUUAAAGGGCAAGAAAAACAAAUAAUAAAAACCAUAUUAUAUUCUCAUCCUAAUUAAUUUCCAAUUUUCCUUUAUAAAAGCAAGGAGAAUGGGGAACAAUGGUGCAAUAUAAUGGAACCUCUACAAUCUUUUUGUAAGCAUAUUUUGCAUAUACAUAUAAUUUGCUAUUAAAAUUUUUAGGCAUAAAUUUGAUGGUAUUAGUUACAUUCAAAACAUUGUGCAACAAUCAUCCCUAUUCCAAAAUAAUGUUAUUACUUUAACAAAAGCUCUGGACUGAAUAAAUAGUAUAAAGGAGAGAACACUUCACAAUUUUACAUAUUACUCUUGCACAGAGGCCUUGACCUGGGUCUCUGCAUCAUUCCAGUUUUUGUAUAUAUGCUGUUGAAGCAAAUAUUUGAGUGUUUUUUCUCGAAAUAAUUCUCAUGAAGAAUUUGGAUUUUUUUUUCUUUUUAUUUAUGUAUUCAUUACUCAAUGAAUUUAUUACAUUUAUAGUUGUACAAUGAUCAUCACAAUCCACUUUUAUAGGAUUUGGAGCCCACAACCCCAGCUCAUCCCCUCACCCCCUGAACUUUAUCCUUUGGAAACCAUAAGUUUUUCAAAGUCUGUGAGUCAGUAUCUGUUCUGCAAAGAAGUUCAGUCUGUACUUUUUGCAGAUUCCACAUGUCAGUGAUAGCAUUUGAUGUUGGUGUCUCAUUAUAUGGCUGACUUCACUUAGCAUGAUAAUUUCUAGCUCCAUCCAUGUUGCUAAAAGUGCCAGUAUUUCUUUCUUUUUAAUGGCUGAGUAAUAUUCCAUUGUGUAUAUGUACCACUUCUUGGUCCACUCCUCUGUCAAUGGACAUUUAGGUUGUUUCCAUGGCUUGGCUAUUGAAAAUAGUGCUGCAAUGAACAUUGGAGUACAUGUGUCUUUGUGAGUCGUGGUUUUCUCUGGAUAGAUGUCCAGGAGUGGGAUUGCUAGAUCAAAUGGUAGUUCUAUUUUUAGUUUUCUGAGGAAUCUCCACACUGUUUUCCACAGUGGCUGCAGCAAUUUACAAUCCCACCAACAGUGUAAUAGGGUUCCUUUUUCUCCACACCCUCUCUAUCACUUAAUGAUUGUGGACUUUUUGAUGAUGGCCAUUCUGGCUGGUGUAAGGUGGUAGGUACCUCAGAGUGGUUUUGAUUUGCAUUUCUCUAAUGAUGAGUGAUGUUGAACAUCUUUUCAUGUGUUUUUUGCCAUCUGAAUGUCUUCUUUGGAGAAUUGCUUGUUUAGAUCUUCUGCGCAUUUUUUGAUGGGUUUUUUUUUUUUUUUGGUAUUGAGCAGUAGGAGGUGUUUAUAAAUUUUGGAGAUUAAUCCCAUGUCAGUCGAUUCAUUUGCAAAUAUUUUCUCCCAUUCUGUGCAUUGUCUUUUUGUUUUUUUUAGGGUUUCCUUUGAUGUGCAGAAACUUUUAAGUUUGAUUAGGUCACAUUUUUUUAUUUUUGUUUUUAUUGUCAAUACUUUAAGAGGUGGAUCUGAGAAGAUGUUGCUGUCGUUGAUGUCAGAGAGUGUUUGACCUAUGUUUUCCUCUAAGAGUUUUAUAGUAUCUGGUCUUAUAUCUAGGUCUCUAAUCCAUUUGGAGUUUAUUUUUGUGUAUGGUGUUAGGAAGUGAUCUAAUUUCAAUCUUUUAUAUGUGGCUGUCCAGUUUUCCCAGCACCACUUAUUGACAGACUGUUUUUUCUCCAUUGUAUAUUCUUGCCUCCUUUGUCAUAGAUUAGUUGGUUCUAGGUGCGUGGGUUGGAUUUUUCCAACAGCAAGUCCUUGCUCUGUAACAACUGUGAAAAUUUUCCUAAAUACAAAUUAAUAUACAUUAGUUAGGUGUGUUUUGUUAUUUGGAUCAGAGAGAAAGAGAUUUUCAUCAUUGGACUAUAAAAGAAUUUUUUUAAUUAAAUGAUUUUUUUCCUUUCUUCCACACUAAACGUUGCAUCUUCUUCCAUUUGCUUUCAUUACAUUAGGAAACCAUAACUGAAAUAUACAUAUGUUUAUAUACAAAUAUAUUAUAAAAUGCAUACAUAAUUUAUUUAUAUAUAGGAAAAAAAUAUAUAUAUAAUUUUUCUAUGUUCCUAGAUAAUGCUUUGGAUAUUUUAUGUCUCAUUUUGCUUCAUUUUUCAUUCAGCAUUCAUUACUCUUUUUAAAAUUUCUAUGACCACACUUAGGGCAUAUGGAAAUUCCCAGGCCAGGGGUCAAAUGGGAGCUGUAGCUGGGUCCUAUGCCACAGCUAGCAACACUGGAUCCGAGCUACAUCUGUGACCUACACUGCAUUACAGCAACACCAAAUCCCUAACCCAUUGAGCGAGGCCAGGGAUCAAACCUGCACCCUCACAGAGACAACCUUGGAUCUUUAAAGCACUGAGCUACAAUGGGAACUCCAGCAUUCACUUCUUAAAGUUGAUAUAUGUUGAUAUAUAUAUAUCUGGAAUAUAUGUAAUAAGAUUUAUCAAUUUUUCAACUGAUGAGUAUCUAAGCUGCUUUUGCUAUUGGAAAAUUUAUACACACCGGAACUUUUGUGUGUAUACAUAUUUUAAAAAUAUGCAUAUAUAUUAUAUAUACAAAUAAUAAACAUAUAUGUAUAUUAAAUAUAAACUGUUAAUUAUUUUAAAUGAUGUUAAAAUAUAUUUGAAGAAAUGGAUUUAAAAGCUAAAAAGAAAGAUACAAAUGAAAAAUGUAAGUACAGUGAUCCAAGGGUUCAAAAACCUAAUAAGAGGCUCUACAAGAGAGAACAGAAAACAUUGGGAGAAAAAAAUGUUAAAGAUAUAAUAGAAAAAUAUGUUUAGAGAUGAAUGCAAGCCAUAUAUUUAUAUUUAAAGCUUAUACUGAAUGAUCAAGAUAAAAAAGUAGAAAGUUCUCAUGAAAUUUUAUACAUUAAGAAUAGAGGCAUCUUAAAAUUAUAUCAUUGAAUGUUAUAAAAACAAAGUCAUUGACAAAUAAAAAGAAAUGAAUUUAAAUCAUAUUUUCUCUUGGGAAAGUCAGUUUCUUUGUGCAUAUAAUCUUUCAGCCCCCACUGGAUCACUUGAGAAUGGAUCUUGGGCUUGCAACAUUUCCUCCUCAAGAGAUAAAGAACCCACACAACAUGUGUUGGGCUUAUCGCCUUUUGUGGGAAAAUCUUACCAUUUCAGGCAAAAUGAAUGUUCUUUUUUCUUUGUUUGAAACCUGUGCUACAUAUGGCCGUAACCAACCCCACUGAUACCUGUCCUCAGUGAGGAGGCUUCAUGUAGACAAACUGCCCCAUGUUGGUCUCCAAGAGAGACCUACUGGCUGUGAGGGACCAAUGUCCACUAUUGAAGCUGAUCUUACAGUGUCUGAUCUGUGUGGGAAUAGGGUUGUUCCAUCCACUGCUAAACUGAAUUGUGUUCUUAAUGAGUCUGAUAAACAAAAUGCAGUGGGCAGAAGUGUUUAGAAUCUUCUCCUGGGACCAGUAACUGAUGCAGGUUGGACCUGGGACCUGGGACCUGGGACUCUGCUUCAGUGCAUUGAGCAAUAGAAUACAAAGAAAGUGUAAGGGACUAAAAAUAACUACAUGCAUGUGUAGUUGGCCCAAAUGUUGAAAAAAAUACAAAAACCAACUGCCACUUCUGAGGUUUCAGGAGCAAAAGCAGGGUACUGCACAUGAUCCCUGCACACAGCACCACCAGGUCUGACCACCUAAGCCACCCUUUCUGCCUGACCCAUGUGUCCCAAUAAAGCCUUGCCUGAAUUUUUCAUCUGGCCUUUUAUCAAGUUCUACCGAUUAAAGAGUCUAAGAAUUCUGGUUGGUAAUAUAACCAGUGCACAGUAAUCACCUCAACACUUUCCAAUAGCAUAACUGGAUGGUGGUAGAAUAUGGAACAGUGAUUUCAAAGUUCUUACUUUUACUUUAUUAUGAUUUUAGGAAAAAUAUAAAUAUUAGUGGACUAAAAAUAUAAAAUUAUGAGAGUAACAAUUAGGAAAUUUUAAUAGUAGAAAUGAAAAUGUAGAAGAUAUAGGGAGGCAUACAUUUAUCUUAAAAUUUGGAGAAUUAUGAGAUAUGGUGAAUAUUUAUUGUUAAGAAGAUGUAUGUUUGAGCAUAAUAUCUAAAAAUAUAGCAUAACAACUCCUUUCACAACUAAAAAGACUAAUAAUUUAUCAAACUUUGGCCUGAACUUCCAUAUGCCACAGGUCUGGCUCUAAAAAAAAAAAGAUUCUGCACCCAAUUACCCAAUUUUAAUUCUGCACUUAAGUCCAAUGUAUAUGGGGCGGGUGUUCCUCCACAUUAGCAAGAAGUUCUUGGACACCAGCUAGUAUCCUAUACUCCCACUCUAUUCUAAAAGACUCAGAUUCCAUAGGUGAAGGGUUCAGGCCUACACAACCGACCUUCGCCUCCACUUUGGAUGUUAACUGCCAAGUCCUGGUUGUUAUAUUUUCUUCUGUGACCAACUGGCUACAGAUUGGAGGGUCUGACUGGCUAUAAACUGGCUAUAGAUUGGUUCAUCUAACCUCCACUUUGGGUUCCAUUAAUUUUCUGGAAAUUCUGGCAGUACGCAGAGACUCAUUUUACUUACUAGAUUACCAAUUUCUUC
rnacentral:lncRNA from 1 species